rnacentral:rRNA from 1 species
UACAGAGGGUGCGAGCGUUAAUCGGAAUUACUGGGCGUAAAGCGUGCGUAGACGGUAGCGUAAGUCGGGUGUGAAAGCCCCGGGCUCAACCUGGGAAUUGCAUUCGAGACUGCUCUGCUAGGGUGCGGAAGAGGGAAGCGGAAUUUCCGGUGUAGCGGUGAAAUGCGUAGAUAUCAGGAGGAACACCUGUGGUGUAGACAGCUUACUGGACCAUUUCUGACGCUGAGACACGAAAGCGUGGGUAGCAAACAGG